rnacentral:rRNA from 1 species
CCUACGGGGGGCAGCAGUAGGGAAUCUUCCACAAUGGGCGAAAGCCUGAUGGAGCAACGCCGCGUGGGUGAAGGAGGUCUUCAGAUCGUAAAACCCUGUUGUUAGAGAAGAAAGUGCGUGAGAGUAACUGUUCACGUUUCGACGGUAUCUAACCAGAAAGCCACGGCUAACUACGUGCCAGCAGCCGCGGUAAUACGUAGGUGGCAAGCGUUAUCCGGAUUUAUUGGGCGUAAAGGGAACGCAGGCGGUCUUUUAAGUCUGAUGUGAACGGCGCGGGCUCAACCCGCGGGCGGCACAUGAUACGG